AUUGAACGCUGGCGGCAUGCCUACACAUGCAAGUCGAACGGCAGCACGGGAGCAAUCCUGGUGGCGAGUGGCGAACGGGUGAGUAAUAUAUCGGAACGUGCCCAGUCGUGGGGGAUAACGCAGCGAAAGCUGUGCUAAUACCGCAUACGAUCUAAGGAUGAAAGCGGGGGAUCGCAAGACCUCGCGCGAUUGGAGCGGCCGAUAGCAGAUUAGCUAGUUGGUGGGGUAAAGGCCCACCAAGGCGACGAUCUGUAGCUGGUCUGAGAGGACGACCAGCCACACUGGAACUGAGACACGGUCCAGACUCCUACGGGAGGCAGCAGUGGGGAAUUUUGGACAAUGGGCGCAAGCCUGAUCCAGCAAUGCCGCGUGCAGGAUGAAGGCCUUCGGGUUGUAAACUGCUUUUGUACGGAACGAAACGGCCCUUUCUAAUACAGGGGGCUAAUGACGGUACCGUAAGAAUAAGCACCGGCUAACUACGUGCCAGCCGCCGCGGUAA
rnacentral:rRNA from 1 species